UUAGACUGCCCGGCACCCGGGCUCUGCGUCUCGGAUUCCCCGCGCCUCUGUACCCCGGCCGCUUCUCCCCGUGCUCCGGGUCUCCUCCCUCAGAGUUCCGCCCCAUCCCAGCCUGCCCGGAGCGCUCGGGCUACGCAGGCCAGGGAUGGAUGCAGCGCCGGCCCCACCAGCCCGGGAUGGCCACACUUACCGGCACCCGGCGCGGAGGGCCCGGGCUCCGGGCUCCGCCACCAGCGUAGCAGAGCCCGCGCGGGCUCCAGGCUGACGGCACAGCGUUGCCGCUUCACCCAUAGCACCGAGUGCAGAGGCUCCGCCGCCCCCAUGGCCCCCAUCGCCGCCGGCGCGGCCUCGUCCGCCGGGCGCGGGGCGCGCGGACGCCGGGGGGGUGCGCGGGACCGUUAGCGGCCCCUGCAGUCUGCCGGGCGGUGGCGCGGGGAGGCGGGAGCGGGAGGCGGCGCUGCGUCACCCGGUCUUGGUCUCCUGGCGGCUAGCAAGAGUCCUGCAGACCCAGGGAACCGGAGUGGCUGUUCCGGAUGCAGCUUAACAUGGGAAAGUUCAACAUGUCCACCUCAGGAAGGUCUUCCUGGACUCCGUCUCUCCCCAGCUAAAGCGUCCCAAGGCACAGCAGGGCAGAAUUCAACACUGCACGCAAAGCAUAUCUACGCAUCUCUGCGAAAAUUUCAUGGGCAUAUGGGCAUGUCCCUGCACAUAAUGUUGUCACUCAGAUAUUGGCUGCAUGAUGGCAUCUGUUCACAUCUGACCAAGGAAGAGUCUCCUCAGACACACUAGCUGGUCCAAGAGUACAGGGCUCUGGUGUGACAGAGCUAAGCCUCACAGCAGGGUCAGCUUUCAAGAAGACUUGGAGAGGCUCCUGCCCUCCCUCCUCAGUUUUCCUGAUGUUGCAGACUGAGGCGGAGCUGGCCAAGUCCUGUGCCUCUGGUACCUUGCCUGUGCCUGGUACCAGAGUGCUAAGGUACAGGUCUGAUCCUGUCGGUGCCCUGUGUCCAUCUGUAGGGCAGGGACAACCAUGAUUCACUAGCUUCUUGGAAGCCCAGCCCAGUGGUAGGCUCCCUGACAGCCCUGGAGUGUUGGUUAGACCCAGGCAGAAUCCUAGCCCCACCCUGGAGCAAGCUGGACCUGAUCUCGCUCAGUGGUUAGUUGAAGCAAGGGCUGCCCCAGCUCUUUCCUUCCGCGGCUGUCUGGAUGAGGCUUGGGGAAUGUGGACAUGAAAUGUUUUCAGAAACCUGAUGU